UGAUUUGGCACCAAAUGAGAAUGUACACGAGUUGGCCGUGGAACUGGUCCAGCUUGGCUUCAUUAGUGAGGGGGAUCAGCCACGUCUCACUACUGUGCUGGAAGAGGCGUUCUCUAGAUUCUACAGCCGGAACGGCUCGCUGAAUCCUGUGACCGUUUCCUCGUAGCAGAGGGGCCAGUCUGCCUGCUCCUCUCCACCAUCCUUCAGCUUCACGCACGGACGGGACUCUAGCGCUUCAUCACUUGGAGGAUUGUGGUGCUUGCUUUGUUUAGGAGGGAUCAGAACGCCUCGAACUGAACCUCCCGAAAGAAAAGCACCCCUGCGCUCUGUUCUUCACACCGCUUU